rnacentral:tRNA from 1 species
CCUGAUAGCUCAGUUGGUAGAGAAUCCGCCUGCAAUGCAGGAGACCCUGGUUCGAUCCCUGGGUCAGGA